GCCGGAGUAGCUCAGUCGGUAGAGCAACUGAUUCGUAAUCAGUAGGUCGGAGGUUCGAUUCCUCUCUCCGGCACCA
rnacentral:tRNA from 2 species